UACGAAGGGGGCUAGCGUUGUUCGGAAUUACUGGGCGUAAAGCGCACGUAGGCGGAUUGUUAAGUGAGGGGUGAAAUCCCAGGGCUCAACCCUGGAACUGCCUUUCAUACUGGCAAUCUCGAGUCCGAGAGAGGUGAGUGGAAUUCCGAGUGUAGAGGUGAAAUUCGUAGAUAUUCGGAGGAACACCAGUGGCGAAGGCGGCCUGCUGGGCAUUAGCUGACACUGAGGCGCGACCGCGUGGGGAGCAAAC
rnacentral:rRNA from 1 species